ACUGAUCUGUUCCUUGUCACUUUUUUUGAGCUUAGCUUGCAAAGUCCUUCAUGAUUGGCAGGUGGAAUUAUGGGACAUGAUUUUCUCUUUUCUGUUCAAGUGUUUUGCAUCAAACAAUUGUUUUUAAACCCUUUGAGAUAGCUCUAGCGCCCCGACUGACCCCAGCCUUAAUGGAACCCGAGCCUUCCUCUACCAGACCUGGCCUCCCUGCCUCCUUCAGCCUCCCCCUGGUUGACAGCAUCAGUCACGGGGCUGCUGCCUCCUUCACUCUGCAGCGGGAAAGCCCACCCGGCUCCUUGUCUGCCUCCUGACUCAUCCCCUGUCGGUCCUUUUGGGAGCCACAGAUCCAAUGGAGCUGGAUGGUAAGGACCAAAGACUCUCCCCUGGAAGCAUUGUGACUCCAAGAAAAGACUUGAUAUUAUAAGUUGAAUUGUGUCCCCUCAAAUUCACAUGUUGAAGCUCUAACUCCCAGCUCAUUAGAAUGUGACCUCAUUUAGAAAUAGGGUCAUUGCAGAUGUAAUUAAUUAAGAUGAGGUCACAGUAGAGUUGAGUGGGCCCAAUCCAAUAAGACUGGCGUCCUUACAGAAAGGGGAAAUUUGAACACAGAUCUACACAGAGAACACCACGGGAAGAUGAAGGCAGAGAUGGGGCAAUGCAUCUACAAACCAAGGAACACCAAAGACGGCCAGCAAACCACCAGGAGCUAGGGAGGGGCAUGGAGCAGAUGCUGCCUCACAGCCUCAGAAGGAACCAGCUCAGCUGACACGUUGACCUGGGCUUCCAGCCUCCAGAAUUAUGAGGUAAUACACUUCUGUUGAUUAUACCACCCAGUUUGUGGUACUUAGUUACACAGCCCUAGGAAACUAAUACACUGAAUAUCACAUGAUAAAGAGGAAAAAAAGAAAAUUCCAGUUAACAAAAUCCUCCAGCUCUCCUCUUAGAUUCCCUUCUUUUGGGAAACCUUUCCAGAGCCCUUGACCGUGGCCCUAC
rnacentral:lncRNA from 1 species